AUGGAGGAUGUGAUCUACGACGGUGGGCAUGGCCCUGCCUACGAUCCGAAGGAGACCCAAAGUCAGGAUGGCCACGCCCAGUUCGUUGACGAUGAAGAGGCCGACGACCGUGAUGACUACGACCAUGGUGACUCAUGGAAUGAAGACGAUGACAUCUAUUGCGAAGGUGAUGGUGAUGAAGAAGAAGGCAAUGCCAUUGAUAUUAGUGGCGAGGCAUUGUUCCUAGACGAGCUCACCCAAAGAGCGGAAGCACAAAAGAGGAGGAAGAGCAUUCGCACGGGUUCAUAUACACAAGAGGAGUACAAGUUGAUUUGCCAAUGUUGGAUGGACAUUAGCCAAGAUCUGAGGACGGGCCCGCAACAAAAGGGCCUAGUUUUUUGGACAAGAGUCCACAAAACUUUCCAUGAAAGGAAGAUGUUUGAGCCCUACCAAAUUACAAGCAACCGUGGCAUCACCUCGAUUUAAAAGAGGUGGUUGUUCAUCCAACAAGAGUGCAACAAGUAUUGCGUCUCAUUUGAGAGCGUUGAAGCACGGCCCAUGAGUGGUCUCGACGUUGUGGACAUGGUAUGCUCUCCUCAUUCUAGUCCUUUCCUUGAUACGACCAUGAGACUUCGGCCUUGUAUAUGUUUGCAUGUCCAAUUCUUGUUGAUCAUGUGGUGUAGGCAUUUUAAUCUUUGGAAGCAUUCAAGGCCCGGCACAAUGACAAGCCAUUCACUCUUACACAUUGUUGGGCGAUCAUCAUCAAUUUCCCUAAGUUCAAGGAUCAAUACCAUGAACUUCAAAGGAAGAGAGGCAAGAAGACAGCCAAGUUCGCCGGAGGUGGAGAUGGCGAGGCGUUGA
rnacentral:rRNA from 1 species